CCAUUAGUGACGAGAACACCCCAGAGUUGCAGUGGGCCUUUUAUGAGAUGAUUGCAGGACUGCAGCACGAGGAUUCAUUUUCUCCUGAACACUGUAUAUCAGAAGAGGUAGCAUGAAAAAGGAUUCCCUGUUCUUGCUCAUGAAAUUAAAAUGUGUGGCUGAACGACCUUGCUUGAAGACCAAUGAGGCACAUUCCUGCCUAAGUGUACAACAGCCCCUAAGGGAGGAAUGCAGAAAAAGGUGCGAUAUCAAAAAGCUAUCUGUCCAACAUAAAACACUUUUCAACCGCACAAAUGGGCUGCUGUUGUUCGAGAACAUUUUAUUCAAGAAUAAAUCACCAGAACUGUAACUGUUUUAAGUUGGAUGAAAUUGAAAUUACAGUCCUGCUUUUUGCAGAUCGUGUAGUACUGUAGGCUUUUUCAAGCGGUGAUCUUCAAUCCUCAGCGGAGCGGUUCGCAGCCGAGUGUGAAGCGAUUGGGAUGAAAAUCAGCACCGCCAAAUCUGAAACCACAGUCCUUCCUCAAUCGAAAAGGGCGGAGUGCUCUCUUCGAGUUGGGGAUGACAUUUUUCCCCGAGUGGAGGAGUCCAAGCAUCUUGGGAUCAUGUUUGUUUAUUUGUUUAUUUUAUGAAUUGUGUUUAUUUCCUGAGUAAGGGGGAGGAUGGAGCGCGAGAUCAACGGGGGGCUGCAGUAAUACGGACUAUGUAUCGAUCCGUCUUGGUGACGCGGGAGCAGAGACAGAAGGCGAAGCUCUUGAUUUACUGGUCAAUCUAUGAUGUUCCCAACCUCACCUAUGGUCACACAUGUGGUGGGUCAUGACCGAAAGAAAAAGAUCCCGGAUACAAGCGACCAAAACGAGUUUCCUCUACAAGGAGUCCCGGCUCUCCUUUAGAGAAAAGGUGAGAAGCUCGGUCAUCCAGAGAGUCUCAGAGUAGAGCCGCAGCUCCUCAGCAUUGAGAGGAGCCAGAUGAGGUGGCUCGGGCAUCUUGUUUGGAUGCCAUCUGGACGCAUGCCUGGUGAAGUGUUCCAGGCAUGUACCACUGGGAGGAGGCCUCAAGGAACAUUCAGGACAUGCUAGGGAGACGAUAUCUUCAAGCUGGAUUGGGAACACCUUGGCAUCCCCCAGGACAAGCUGGACGAAGUGGCUGGGGUGGAGGAAGUCUGGGCUUACAUGCUUAAAUUGCUUUGGACAAUUUGGAGUCUUCAGUGAACAAAGCAUGCACAGUUUUUGGAAUGCAGGAGGAAAAUAAAAUGCACAAGUUUCAGGAAGACGUAAAAUCAUCGCAAGAAGGCCAGAGACUCACAAUUUAGAAACUGUGAGACAGGUGUGCAAAGCAGUCACCCGCUGUCAUCAAUUAAAAAAAAUAUAUUAGACAAUAUGAACUGAAAAUGAAUCUUCAAAAACUCAAAUGAUAUGCUUUAAAACCAAUCGUGUCAUCAUCGAAAAUGACCGCCAAAAAAACAGCUGGAAUUUUUCCACGGCUCAAAACACCCUUAAUAUAUACUGUGAAUGCAGACUUUACUUGGAAAGCUAGGCUUACCACCAAAACGCAAGGGCUCAUUCUGUCAUGAUCACAUCUGAUCCUCGGAGUGUCCAUUACAAAUAGUGGUGACGCAGCAGUCUGCUUGAUUAUUUAAUGCGCCGUGACAUAAUCAUGUGCAUAAGCCACAUGCGCAUGGCCGCGACCUGUAUACAGGCAUCUAAUUCAUGGCCUUGUUUCAGUAAAAAAAGGUGGCACAUAAAAGGUCACAUGCAGGCACAUGUCAAGACCGCUGUGUUGAUUUUUGAGCUGCACGUUUGGAAAAAUAAUCAAAUUGCUCUUGUUUUCUUAAAUAUUGCAAUUACAAUUGAAUAUGCCAGAAUUUUUUAAAGGUCCUCUUCCUAUGUCUAUUUUUUUUCAUCAAACACAAGCAACAAAAUAAUCAGUAUUACGAUCAGCAAUCUCAGAUGUAUUCAAAAUACAAACCAAUGAAGUCGGGAUGUUGUAUUAAACAUUCAUAAAAACAAAAUAGAAUGAUUUCCAAAUGUUCAAGCUAUAUUUAAUUGAAUGCACUCCAAAUAUGUAACGUUCAAAAUGAUAAAUUUUAUUGUUUUAUCAAAUAAUCACAAACUUAGAAUUUUAUGUCUGCAACAGGCUCCCCUCCCAAAAAAAGCUGGGAAAUGGGAACAUUUAUCACUUUGUUACAUCACCCUUUCUUUCAACCAUUAAUAAUAAAUAAUCAACGCUUGGGAACUGAGGUCACUAGUUGUUCAAGCUUUGGAUUUGAAAUUCUUUCCCAUAUUUGAUGAUGAAGCAUGAUGUACAGCAAUUGUGUCAGUGUUUACUGACAGUUGUUUUCAAAAGUGUUCCUGAGCCCAUGCGGUGAUAUCCUUUACACAUUCCUGUUGAUUUUUUUUAAUAUAGCGUCGCCUGAGGAAUCAUAGGUAACGGGCAUUCAAUGUUGAUAUUCGGUCUGAGUGAAGUAAUGAGCAUAUUUUCAAAUGUAUUAACAAUGAGGGAAUGGAGAUUUGGGGAGCGACGAGCUCCAAUGUUCAUGAUCUAGGUUCUUGUAAAACAAAUUUAACCUCAAAACAAAUGACAUAUUUUGACCGGUCUCACUUAGAAGGAAGAAAUUUAGAAAUUAAAACAUGAAAUAGCAAGGUAAGCCCCACUGCAUUAAGUUAUGGUCAUAAAUGAAAACCCCAUGAUUGAGUAAAACCACAAAUAACUGAACCACAAAGUAGCGAGGGAACACUGUAUAUAAAAAAAAUAAACCUUACCAAUCAACCUAAAUGAAGCAGCAAUUUUUGUUGUCGAUUUUUUUUUUUUCAAAUAACUUUUUCUAUUUUAAAAUUGCAUUCCAGUACAUUGCUAUGUAUUCGAUGAAUUGUUCAUCUCUGGAUAAAUUGCAGUCAUGAGUGAUAACAGAAUCUGUUGAGUUUGUUUUGACUGUAGCUUUUUACAGCAUCUUGCACCAACAAAUUGUACAUGUGUGGGUGAGUGCAGGUGGUAAAUAGUCAAUCUGUGUGUCUAUCUAUCGAUUUAGCGUGAAAGCAUAUGUGCGUGCAUGUGUGUGCGUGCGCGCGCGCGUGUGCGUGUGCGUGUGUGUGUGUGUGUGUGUGUGUGAGAGAGAGAGAGAGAGAGAGAGAGAGAGAGAGAGA